UAGCGGCGAGUGAAGCGGCAAAAGCUCAAAUUUGAAAUCUGGCACCUUCGGUGUCCGAGUUGUAAUUUGAAGAUUGUAACCUUGGGGUUGGCUCUUGUCUAUGUUUCUUGGAACAGGACGUCACAGAGGGUGAGAAUCCCGUGCGAUGAGAUGCCCAAUCCUAUGUAAGGUGCUUUCGAAGAGUCGAGUUGUUUGGGAAUGCAGCUCUAAGUGGGUGGUAAAUUCCAUCUAAAGCUAAAUAUUGGCGAGAGACCGAUAGCGAACAAGUACAGUGAUGGAAAGAUGAAAAGAACUUUGAAAAGAGAGUGAAAAAGUACGUGAAAUUGUUGAAAGGGAAGGGUUUGAGAUCAGACUCGAUAUUUUGUGAGCCUUGCCUUCGUGGCGGGGUGACCCGCAGCUUAUCGGGCCAGCAUCGGUUUGGGCGGUAGGAUAAUGGCGUAGGAAUGUGACUUUGCUUCGGUGAAGUGUUAUAGCCUGCGUUGAUGCUGCCUGCCUAGACCGAGGACUGCGAUUUUAUCAAGGAUGCUGGCAUAAUGAUCCCAAACCGCCCGUCUUAAACACCGGGACCAAA
rnacentral:rRNA from 1 species